AUACGUAGGUGGCAAGCGUUGUCCGGAUUUAUUGGGCGUAAAGGGUGCGCAGGUGGAUAUUUAAGUGAGAUGUGAAAUCCCCCGAGCUUAACUUGGGGCCUGCAUUUCAAACUGGAUGUCUAGAGUGCAGGAGAGGAAAGCAGAAUUCCUAGUGUAGCGGUGAAAUGCGUAGAGAUUAGGAAGAACACCAGUGGCGAAGGCGAUUCUCUGGACUGUAACUGACACUGAGGCACGAAAGCGUGGGUAGC
rnacentral:rRNA from 1 species